UACAGAGGCCCCAAGCGUUACUGAGAAUCACUGGGUUUAAAGGGUGCGUAGGUGGCGCGUUAAGUCCGUUGUGAAAUCCCUGGGCUCAACCCAGGAAUUGCUUCGGAUACUGGCGUGCUUGAGGCUAGUAGGGGUCACUGGAACUGACGGUGGAGCGGUGAAAUGCGUAGAUAUCGUCAGGAACGCCGAUGGUGAAGACAGGUGACUGGGCUAGUUCUGACACUGAGGCACGAAAGCGUGGGGAGGCGAACGGG
rnacentral:rRNA from 1 species